AUGCAUUCUUAACACUCUAGAAAUAAUAGCAAACCCCUUGAAAUAUUUAAAUUAGUUUGUUCCCUGAAUUAAAUGUCCCAUCUGCUUCCCUUCCCUCCCCAAACCUCUUCUCGCCACCCCCUGGUGCGCGUGCACAUGGGUUUGUGGUUUGUUUUUUUUUUUCUGGCAUUGCUUCUGAAUUCCAUCAAAUGCACAGCUAUUGCAGCCUGCUGGGGUUGUGCCUUGACAGCCAGGGUUAGAGUUUGUGCUGGGUGUUGAGUGCAGACAUUGAACCCCUGCUCAGAGGCUGCACAGUCGGGUGGGAACGGGUGUGCUUGUGGCUGCUGGAGUGAGAGAAACACCCGGGCUUGGGUUGUGUGCUUGGUUUAAACUGAGAGCAUUGGAGCAUUUCGUAGGGAGGAAGACUGUGUCACCUCCCCGCUCACCCUCGGCUUGCAGACUCCUUGGAAGAUGUCUCGAGAAGCCUCUGUGCCCGUGACAAAGUGAGGGAACCCAGCAAAUGGUGUUUGCCAGCCCGCCUGGGGAAAUGACCGGCCCUGGGAGCGUGUCCUGCCAGCAGGAGCUGGGGGGAGCUGGAGGAAGCUGGAGGAAGCUGGAGGAACCUGGGGGGAGCUGGAGGAAGCUGGAGGAAGCUGG